GACUUUUGCUGAUGAGGUAUCACUCCGCCAGAAAAGUAGAUACCUGUUUACGUGUUUUGUGUUUCCAAAACAGACUUUUGCUGAUGAGGUAUCACUCCGCCAGAAAAGUAGAGACCUGUGUAUGUGUUUCAUGUUUCCAACAAAGGUGGUCAAUAAAUGAUGAAACGACGGAAUGGUGGAGUGUCUCCUACUUAAAAAACUACACAAAGCAGAAUAAG